ensembl:ncRNA lncRNA:CR44485 long non-coding RNA:CR44485
UUAGACAUUGAUUUCCACUAUUAUUAUGCGCCGGUCGUUGAACAUAAAUCUUUGAUUAUUAUGGUUCGACAAAUGCUUCGUGUCAAUUCACUGAAGCAGACCCAAAUCAAUUAAAUAUCCAUUAUGUAAAUUCACUGGCCACAUCCCUACUUCAUGCAUAUUUAUGUGCCAACUGGGGAAACCGCAAGACUAACCAAAAUAGAUUUUUUUGGCAGCCACAAUGCCCAAGAGUAAACAAGUGGAGACGGACACAAUAUUGCUGUGUUGUUGUGAUUGAGGAUUUCCAUAUUUACUCGGGACACAUUUUCAGUGGGUAGCCGGUAAAGAGCUAAAAAUAAGUGGAACACGGCGAUGGGGCAAUAGAAUUAGAAGCCAGUGAAACGAUUUUGCUGUCCACCUGAAAGCUAAGCCCCCAACACUUUUGGUUACAAAUCUACAAAUACGGAUUUCAAAUAGUCGAAUCCUGGUCCUGUGUGGCAUACAAAAAAAAACUGUUGCUGUUCCGGACUUAUGUAAGUUUUUGGCAGCCAACAAACAGGAUGCAAUUUCAAUGGAACAGCAGCCAAACAACAGCGCACAUUGCAUUUCACUAAAGCCGCAGACAAUCGAACUGAAAAGCAGAUCGACCAUUCAUAACCGGAAACGCACUGCUUGUGUGCGGUUGUCCAACGGCAGCGGAUGCGAAUGAAAGGAUAGUUCACUUCCGGAAUGCGGAGCUCUCAUUGUUGGCGGCGAAAGUGGACUUGUCGACUUAAACCUGCUGGCAAAAU